rnacentral:rRNA from 1 species
GAGUGAACGCUGGCGGCGUGCCUAACACAUGCAAGUCGCACGAGAACGCUUCAGCUUGCUGAAGCUAGUAAAGUGGCGCACGGGUGAGUAACGCGUGGGUAACCUACCUCCGAAUUGGGGAUAACAUUGCGAAAGCGAUGCUAAUACCGAAUAACAUCCCUUGUCCCUCGGUGCUUGGGAUCAAAGGUGGCCUCUCCAUGGAAGCUACCGUUUGGAGACGGGCCCGCGUACCAUUAGCUUGUUGGUAGGGUAACGGCCUACCAAGGCUACGAUGGUUAGCUGGUCUGAGAGGAUGAUCAGCCACACUGGAACUGACACACGGUCCAGACUCCUACGGGAGGCAGCAGUGAGGAAUUUUGCGCAAUGGGGGAAACCCUGACGCAGCAACGCCGCGUGAGUGAUGAAGGCUUUCGGGUCGUAAAGCUCUGUCAAGUGGGAAGAACCUACAUGAUGUUAAUACCAUCUUGUACUGACGGUACCACUGAAGGAAGCACCGGCUAACUCCGUGCCAGCAGCCGCGGUAAUACGGGGGGUGCUAGCGUUACUCGGAAUUACUGGGCGUAAAGCGCGCGUACGCGGU